UACGUAGGGGGCGAGCGUUGUCCGAAGUUACUGGGCGUAAAGCGCGCGUAGGCGGUCAUUUAAGUCUGAGGUGAAAGGUUCAGCGCUCAACGUGAACAGUGCCUUGGAUACUGGGUGACUUGAGUUCGGGAGGGGGCAGUGGAAUUCCAGGUGUAGCGGUGAAAUGCGUAGAUAUCUGGAGGAACACCGAUGGCGAGGGCAGCUGCCUGGCCCAGAACUGACGCUGAGGUGCGAAAGCGUGGGGAGCGAACGGG
rnacentral:rRNA from 1 species